rnacentral:rRNA from 1 species
CACGGACCGCACGAACGUUAUUCGGUAUCACUGGGCUUAAAGGGUGCGUAGGCGGCUUGGCAAGUUGGGUGUGAAAGCCCUCGGCUCAACCGAGGAAUUGCGCUCAAUACUGCCGAGCUCGAGAGAGACAGAGGUAAGCGGAACUAAUGGUGGAGCGGUGAAAUGCGUUGAUAUCAUUAGGAACACCGGUGGCGAAGGCGGCUUACUGGGUCUUUUCCGACGCUGAGGCACGAAAGCCAGGGGAGCGAACGGG